rnacentral:rRNA from 1 species
UACGAAGGGGGCUAGCGUUGUUCGGAAUCACUGGGCGUAAAGGGCGCGUAGGCGGCCAACUAAGUCGGACGUGAAAUCCCCAGGCUCAACCUGGGAACUGCGUCCGAUACUGGAUGGCUUGAAUUCGGGAGAGGGAUGCAGAAUUCCAGGUGUAGCGGUGAAAUGCGUAGAUAUCUGGAGGAAUACCGGUGGCGAAGGCGGCAUCCUGGACCGACAUUGACGCUGAUGAGCGAAAGCUAGGGGAGCAAACGGG